UAAUCUCUCCUGAACGCGCCACGUCAGAUUCCAGCGUGGAAAUAGGAGGCAUCUCGCGCAGACACAUCAGAUACGCACCGUAUCACUUAAGUUUUGUUCUGUCGGAACAGGCUUCACUUGGGCUUCGUCACGCUUAUCUAAUCUUCUUCGACUUGAGGCCCAUCGACACAAUCUUCGGGAAUCUUAAACAGAUGCGUUUCCUUCCUGAUCUUCGUUCGUUCUUCUUCAUACAGAUCUAGAAAUCCGUCGGUUACCGAUUCAUUCCUAUUAAUUCCUUCAUCAAUCCAUCGUACACGAUCUAUCUUCAAUGCCAUCUUUUCUCUUCGAAGGCGGUGGUGGUUUGACUAUAAAAAGGUUAGCAUCCCUACACUCUUAAUCAUCCUAUCACUCUAUUGAACAAAUCAAUCUACUUAUUUACUGAGAAAUGGCUUGCUCUCGAGAUCAUCUAUCCAUCUCGAUACGUUUUGAGAUCGAAGAGAUGGGUAAAGUGGCUGUUGGUGCGACGGUUGUCUGCGCAGCGGCGGUUUGCGCGGCGGCGGUGUAUAUAGUGAGGCGGCAGAUGGAAAGCUCGGGGGAAAUGGGAGCGUGUGAUAGAGAUCCUGAGGGUGAUGGAGGAGGAUUGCGGGAGGUGGGAAUCUGAGACAAGUGGCUGACGCAAUGACUGUUGAGAUGCACGCGGGCGUCGCUUCUGAAGGUGGAAGCAAGAUUAAAUGCUCAUCAGCUAUGUUGAUAAUCUUCCUUCUGGACGAUGGUGCCAGCUUUUCUCCAAGGUUUUGCCGUUUUUUUUUCGGGUUCAACCUUAAACCAACUCAAACGUCAGAAAUAUUAAACGUGGUGGCGACCUCAUUGGAGUAAAUAUGCUUCUUCUGGAAUCUAAGUUUUAAAUUGUCUUUGGAGGCUAAGAUUGUGGAUCCGGAUACGGGUCGUGACUUGGGGGUUGAUUGAACUGGCGAACUCUGGUUCCAGAGUCCUACCGUGAUAAAGGUUAUUCCAAGAACGAGGAAGCUACUGCUUUUACUAUUGAUUCAAAAGGAUGGCUGAAGACUGGAGUUUUGUGUUACACUGACAGUGAACGUUUUGUCUUUAUUGUUGAUAGAUUAAAGGAGCUAAUCUAAUGCAAUGCUUAUCAGGUUGCUCCAGGUGAACUAGAAGCAGUGUUGCUAGCUCAUCCAGAGAUUGCUGAUGCAUCAGUAAUGCCGUGAGGACUUAUCGAAAGUGAGCUCAUGAGCUUGGGGAUGUAGCUCUUACUUUUCUAUUAUUGUUUUUGUAGUAUCCCUGACAAUAAAGCUGGGCAAUAUCCAAUGGCAUAAAUCGUCAGAACAUCUGGAAGCAACUUAUCCGAAAGUGAGCUCAUGAGCUUAGUCUCAAAGCAGAGGAUACGUAAAGUCACGUUUUUGUCUUCAAUCCCCAAAAGUCCAUCAUGCAAGAUUGUAAGAAGAGAACUUAUAAAGCUCACAACCUCAAAGUUCUAGCAGGAAGUCAUGUUCACCAGCCUUAUCUCACACUUCACCAUUAGUUAUCCGUCCAGGAAUCAAAUAAGUCAUAUCAUUCACUACCUAUAUUUUCUAGGUAAGGAUCAGAAUCCAUAUUUGAAAGCUUGAUUUUUGGUGUUUGUUAUACAUAAAAACGAAUAAAAAAAAUAACUUUACAACAUGUUUAUUGGGUUAGAUUUAAGAGGUCACUAUUUAACAUAAAAGAUAUGAAAAUAUAAAAACCACGAUUACAUGUUACCACAACAAUUACGAAAAUCAAUGUCAAAUGUAACUAUUACAAACAAACUAAACAAUGUGUGUCCAUACUUUAAGCAAGAGAAUUCAAGUUUUACUUAAAGAAAUAGUAAUUAGAACUUUUUAAAAAUAUAACCAAUCAAUUUAGCAAAAAUACUAUACAUGAAUUUAGUCUUUAGGUGGAACUUAAAGUCAAUAAUCGUAGAUUUUAAAUUUUUCUUUCUUUUUGAAAACUCAACAACGAUAAAACUUAAUUCUUACAAUUGACAUAUAAUAUUUCAAAUAUCAACAUAAAUCUAAUGAUGACGGAUAAUAGAUAUAAAACAAAAAUGGGAAUGUAACAUUGUAAAACACAAUUGUCAAACUCAAAGACUAUAUCUUAGCCACCAUAGUAUCUCACCCCCACCAAUCAUGUAUAAUAAAAUAUUUUUCAACAUAUUAAUUUAUACCUAAAUUUACUCUUCAGGUGGAACUUAAAGUCAAUAAUCGUAGAUUUCAAAAUUUCUUUCUUUUCGAAAACUCAACAAUGAUAAACUUAAUUCACACAACUGACAUAUAAUAUUUCAAAAAUCAACAUAAUUCUAAUGAUGACGGAUAAUAGAUAUAAAACAAAAAUGGGAAUGUAAAAUUGUAAAACACAAUUGUCAAACUCAAAGACCAUCAUAACUUAGCCACCAUAGUAUCUCACCCCCAACAAUCAUGUAUGAUAAAAUAUCUUUCAACAUAUUAAUUUAUAUACCGAUAAAUUAACCAAAUCUUCAAACCCACAAAACAAAUAUUUUGUAUCCUUAAUUACUAAGUGUCUCGAAUUACUAUUAUUUGUUUUCCUGAUACUAUUUAUGUAAUAUAUUAUGAUUUUUUUGUAGUGUAUCAUACACACUUUUUGCAAAUUCAAAUUCAAAUCUAAAACACAAACUACAAAAUCAUACAAAAAUAAUAAUUUAUAUCACAAGUAGAGUAUAUCCCGCCCGUAGGGCGGGCCG